AAUCUAAUGGCUUCUUGAUCUUUGCAGGUUUGGACAGCAGAUGCUACAACACUUCACAAAUCUCCCUCAGAUUUUCUUUGGAAGGACCUGGUGAGAUUUAGGACAAGCCUUUACUGUGCUGCCAUUGUCUGUGAGCACAGUGGUCAACUCAGUUUGGCCAUACUUGCUGUUACAACAGUGCCAGGAGAUCAGAGGCUGAAAGGAAACUUGAGAUGUGAUUGCUCCUGGCUGUGGCCUGCCUCGGUCUGGAAGAUCUUAAGAAACACAGACUCCACCAUGUCUCCAGGUCAUCUGCUUUAGUGCCUCACUCUCUGUGUGCUUAGAAAAGCUUUCUUAGUGCCUAAAUGGAAUUUUUUCUGCCUCGGUUUUAGUCCUUUCCUUCCUGUCCUAUCCACUGUGGACAUGGGGAACAGGUUGCUUUUUCUUCCUUCAGCAGCCUUUGACACACUUGCAGAAGUCCUGUCCUCUUUUCUCUCCUUCUUUGGCCAAUUUACUUAAUUGGAGCUGCAGAAUUUAAAGGGUCUUAGAUGACGAAUCCACCUUAAAUAUAUUUAAAGACUGGAAAUGGAUUUUGCAGUAAAAACUCUGGAAUUUGUUGGUUGUGAUUAGUAUUUGUCUUUCAAAUGUUAAAUAACUCAGAAAUACAUUGGAGUGCCUCCCCUUUCAGCCCUCCUUUGUUUGCCUACAGCAAACAAUUUUCUUGAUGAAAAAAUGUACAAUAUAAAUAAGCUGUGAUACGUUCUUUGGUUUUUUUCAGGCUAUGGCUUGGUACACUCCUCUCUACUGGAACAGAAGACAAGGAUGGGGGUGAAAGAGGAAAGUGAAACAUUUGAGAAUAUUGUCAUAAAACUUUCUCAAGGACUGAGCAAAAAGAAGGAUGGAAAAAUGAACAGGAAUUUACAAGAACUGAUUCAGAGUGGAAAAGAAACGAAAAAAGACAAAGCUUCAUUAAAAUGAGGAAAAAUAGACUUCUACAUCCCUUUUCCCUAAUCAAAGUGCCUGGUGCCAAAGCUAAGUGUCUUCCACUGAACCCUCACUUUUCCCAUUGAUGGGAAUGAUGGCAGCAGUUUUUGAAGUCAUCAAGGCCUGACCCUGUGCCAGCCAGGAAUUUAUGGAGAACUGCAGACAAUGAACAGAGGGAGCCAAAGCCAUGAGGAUUUUUCCAGUGAGACUUGUGUAGAUGAUGUAAGGCAGAUAGUCUGAGAGCACCAACUAGAGGGAAAGACAGAGGAGAAAAAUGACAUGAUCUCCAUUCAGAGGGUGAUAAAGUUUUGGAGAAGCACGUGCAGUUCAUGGGCAGCCACCUGUGAUUUUGGCCAACCAAUGCUUGCUGAAAUCCAAUUCAACCAAAAGUCUGCAAGGGAGAGUUCGAUCCUUUAAAGUAAAAGUAUCUUAGUGACAACCAGUGACCUUGUGAUUGUAUGUUCAUCCCGAUGUGCCGUUUGUUUAAAAUGUUCUUCCAGAAAGUCAGAAGAAACAGAGUGUUUUUGUUGUACCGUGUUUGAUUCCUAAAUUGACUUUCUUUUCAAGGUAGCUGUGUGGAAAUAAUGACUGUUGUCAUCAACAUGAAGGAACUAGCCAGAAGAAAAAUCCUUCAGCUCCCAGCUGUGUGAGUGGGGAAGGCAGAAGGAGGCCUAUUCAGUCAGGAGGGGUGAGUAGAGUUUUCAAACAGUUUUCAAAACAACUAAGCAAGCAAAGAAAAAAUGGUAGAGCUUAAAACCCCCACAAUUCAGAACACAAGAAUUUCUUUAUUUUGUUGAAAAUCCUUUUAGUCUUCUUUCUGUGAGAAAGACCUGUGCCAGACCACAAAUGGAAAGCAUCUGGAUUCGGGCAUUGCAACUUGAGCACAGCUGGACACAUCUAAUUCUAGAGAACUUCUUGUUUACAUCUUAGGUUUGCUUUAAUUUGGAAUCUAUUUACAGUGUUCCUUCCAGGAAAAAAGAAGGUUUAAAUGCACACUCAGAUGUAUUUUUUAUCUAUUGAAGACUCCAUUGCACGCACUAGCCUACCUAAAGACCCAGAAUCAUGUGAAGCUUUCACAUGUA